UGGCGGAUCCAUUUUGGGUUGUACCUCAUCCUAAAUUUGACGGUACCCGUAAUGUUUCCGCUGAG
rfam:Caenorhabditis elegans chromosome X